CCACGCAACGAAUUCUUCUCGUAUAUUUUUAAUGGUGUUUUUUAAAUAUUCCUUUUCUUUUGAAAACGAUCGCCUCUCGAAUAACUCACCGUUUAUCCAUCUUCGUUUUUAUAUAAUAAUAUAACGUGUAUAUUUUUAGAGAUGUUCCACUUUUCUAGAUACGAGCUUCUAUUAUAAUUAUACGACUUAUACGAAAUAAGUAGGACGAAUUUUAUCGAAUCGUUCUAUUUGAUAAAACGCAAGCAAAGGGGAGGGGGGGGGGGGAAUUGUACGAAGAUUAUACAAGAGUGCAAGAGUGUCUUGCGUGUUUUUAUCUCUGGAACAGCUAUGUUGGAGCGAUGGAAAGUAAUAUCGAGUAACAGGAAGUAGAGGGGGGAGAGGAGAGGAGGAGGAGGAGGAUGGUAUUCCUUUUAACAAAUGCAAUAAAAUAUGAUUCUACAUACACGAGGUGUGAUAUUAUAUUAGCCAUAUAUGUGUAGAUAUUGAAACGAGUUCAACGACUUAAUACACUUAAUAUGACCUUAGAUUAGAAAUAUCUAGGUCUUAGUCUACCAAUUUGCUGUAUGACCAGAUAAUUAUAAUAUUAUGCGUCGCAAGUUUUGUCUCAAGUUUUGAGUUAUUAUUAUUGUCAACACAUCACGUUUGCAUUUAUUUAAUUAUUAUCCAUGAAUCAAUUUUUAUAAUAAAAAAAAAAAAAGAACGCGAGAUAAUAUUAAUAUUAGUAUCAUUUGAUUAAACUUCAACGAUUCCUAGGGAAUUUUUUUUUACAGGGAUUUUGAAUUGAAGAUGAAAAACGAGGUAUAAUCGAUUCUUUUCACUCGGUUCACGUGCAACGAUCACUUUCACUUUGUAAAAUAGGCUGGCAAUAGCUUGAGAGUAGUAGCCUUGAACCACGCAAUCCAGUUUUCCUACGAAUUAUUAUAUAUUGUCCAACAAAAUAUGAACUCUUGAGCGCAUUCUUGAAAAAAGUGACGCUCAAUAUCUUCGGGGAUAACAAAAGUAGUUCCUGGAUAUCAGAAGAAGUGCAAUUUCCUUCGUUGGCAGGAAUAAAAGGGUGCAAUAAGAGAGGAGGCGAAACAUCUCUAUUCCAGUGGUUGUCAAACUUUUUUUUCAAACCAGUCUUAAAUCCCUAAUUUGUGAUCACAAAUUUUGCACGCAACCACGGUUUUACAACGAAUUAAUAUAAAAAAUAUUUUAUUUCCAUUAUUUUCCUCUAAUUAAUUGCAUACUUUCGUUUAAAUGCGACACGGAUAUCGGUUACCAAAGAUCUAGGGAACCCUAGACGGUUUGAGAAACGCUGCUCUAUCGGUAACAGCUGAGGGGCAAGAUGCCACGGGCCCGGAUGAAGGAAGUGAAACAGACCAGUCGAACCGCGGAUGCACGCGAUAGCUGCGAAACUGCGAUGGCGUAGGGGGAAAAUGCAAGAACCGUGUUCAACAAUUAUUCGACUGUACAAGCGUUGCAAAGUCGAUAAUUGCAAAGUCGCUGACCGAGCUAUAUAGUUCGAGAAAUAAGUGAAUUAUUAAUGGAAGUAACUCCUUCUCUCUCUCCCCCCCCCCUUCCUCGCAAAAUGAAUUUAAACAUCGCUUCUGAGCCAUGAAAACGGUAACUAUAAACAACAUUUGGUGGAAUUACAGCGAAAUAAUUACAGUUUGCGGAAUGUUGCUAAAACAUUUCCAUAUAUAUAUAUAAAUAUAUAUAUUGAUCGUGUAUAACUUUAACAAUGGAUGAAAGAAAUUAGGGAUAAAUAAAAUUAAUCCGAGAAGUCAUCGAAAGGUAUUAAAAAAUUAAGUUCAAAAUUCAUC